rnacentral:misc_RNA from 1 species
AGGUGGUUUAAGGACUCUGCAGCCUUUUGACAUCUCUCCUGCUGAAACUAUCACUGCCUUCAAAUCCCCAGGAGGAAUUGCAGCAACUAUGGGGUUUCCUUUUACAAAUGCGCAGUGGAAAGAGCUUGAGAGACAAACUAUGAUAUACAAGUACAUGAUGGCCUCUGUUCCUGUGCCUCCACAUCUUCUCUUUCCCACUCCAAG